rnacentral:rRNA from 1 species
UUACGGGGUGCAGCAGGCGCGAAACCUCUGCAAUAGGCGAAAGCUUGACAGGGUUACUCUGAGUGAUUCCCGCCAAGGGGAUCUUUUGGCACCUUUAAAAAUGGUGCAGAAUAAGGGGUGGGCAAGUCUGGUGUCAGCCGCCGCGGUAAUACCAGCACCCCGAGUGGUCGGGACGAUUAUUGGGCCUAAAGCAUCCGUAGCCGGUACUGCAAGUCUUCCGUUAAAUCCAUCUGCUUAACAGAUGGGCUGCGGAGGAUACUAUGGAGCUAGGAGGCGGGAGAGGCAAGCGGUACUUAGUGGGUAGGGGUAAAAUCCGUUGAUCCACUGAAGACCACCAGUGGCGAAGGCGGCUUGCCAGAACGCGCUCGACGGUGAGGGAUGAAAGCUGGGGGAGCAAACCGGAUUAGAUACCCGGGUAGUCCCAGCUGUAAACGAUGCAGACUCGGUGAUGAAUAGGCUUCGUGCCUCUUCAGUGCCGCAGGGAAGCCGUUAAGUCUGCCGCCUGGGGAGUACGGUCGCAAGACUGAAACUUAAAGGAAUGGCGGGGGAGCACAA